rnacentral:rRNA from 1 species
UACAGAGACUGCAAGCGUUAUUCGGAAUCACUGGGCUUAAAGGGUGCGUAGGCUGCGCGGAAAGUUGGGUGUGAAAUCCCUCGGCUCAACCGAGGAACUGCGCCCAAAACUGCCGUGCUCGAGGGAGACAGAGGUGAGCGGAACUUAGGGUGGAGCGGUGAAAUGCGUUGAUAUCCUAAGGAACACCGGUGGCGAAAGCGGCUCACUGGGUCUCUUCUGACGCUGAGGCACGAAAGCUAGGGUAGCGAACGGG